rnacentral:piRNA from 1 species
UAUCGAAAUUCCUUGAUUCAA